rnacentral:misc_RNA from 1 species
UUUCCGUAGGUGAACCUGCGGAAGGAUCAUUGUCACACAUCCUAAUGGAUGCUUGUGCCAACAAGCAGACCCAGCGAACCAUUCUCCUAUCACUUGAGGGGCUGCAUCGCGAGGUGCAGCUGUCGGCGGUCGGGCCCUUGCUUCAGGGGCCGGAGUCCUUGCUGGGUUCACCGUUGCGGGUGAGCACCGGCCGUCCGACGGGGGCCGCUCUUGGGCCUCGCACACGGGAGAGUGCGGGGGCGGCGUUUCCCACUCCAGCUGUCCCAUCCGGGGCAGCUGCGCAACCAACCAAAACACUAUGCAAAAACCGACUGAAGACCGAUCCUUUGCGGGGCGCCUUCGGGAGCCCUGCCUCGGAUCAAAAACAAACUAAAGACAACUCUCAACAACGGAUAUCUUGGCUCUC